AAGGCAGCCAAGAGGAGGCCUCAGACACCACAAGACCCAGAGGGUGGGAUCAGCCUGCACCCCUAUAAAUAAAAGAAGACUGAACCCCUAGGCUGGUGACCUAUCUGGGUCACACUGCAAGGGGAGUGGGGUGCAGGAGGGCUGGUGGAGAGAGGAGAUAAUGAGAAGGACUGAAAGGAAAGAGGGGAGAGAGAGAGAGUCAGGAUGGGGUGUCUCUUCAGCCCCCCGAAAUCCAGGAACUGAGGAGAGUCUCAGGCCAACACCUGCCUCUUGGGGGUGACUUCCCGCUGGGGCCCCAGCUGGGUCUGGGCCUGAGCUAGGGGGCCAGGGACGGACAGGGCCAGUGGCUGGGCAGGCAGGGGCCCGGGG